GACGAACGCUGGCGGCGUGCUUAACACAUGCAAGUCGAACGAAGCUUGAUUACGGAUUCUUCGGAUGAAGUAUGAUAUGACUGAGUGGCGGACGGGUGAGUAACGCGUGAGUAACCUGCCCUUCAGAGGGGGAUAGCGUUUGGAAACGAACGGUAAUACCGCAUAAUGUAUUUUGACCGCAUGAUCGAAAUACCAAAGAUUUAUCGCUGAAGGAUGGACUCGCGUCUGAUUAGGUAGUUGGUGGGGUAACGGCCCACCAAGCCGACGAUCAGUAGCCGGACUGAGAGGUUGAUCGGCCACAUUGGGACUGAGACACGGCCCAGACUCCUACGGGAGGCAGCAGUGGGGAAUAUUGCACAAUGGGCGCAAGCCUGAUGCAGCAACGCCGCGUGAAGGAAGACGGUUUUCGGAUUGUAAACUUCUGUUCUUAGUGAAGAAUAAUGACGGUAGCUAAGGAGCAAGCCACGGCUAACUACGUG
rnacentral:rRNA from 1 species